AAAAUUGGUUGAUGUUUUCGCCGCCACGAUUCGAAAUGAAACGAAGAAAUGAGAAGAAGCGAAGGUCCUCGUAGACGUGAAUGAGGAUUUUACCACUAUGGACAUUUGAACAGUAUGCAGAAGAAGACGGAUCUGGAACUAGAAAGCAAGGCUCUGACUGGUCUACUACAGCAAGGAAUGUGCCAGCGGCCAAUCUGAUGAACAUGUGACAGAAGAUUUGGCGAUGGGUGAAGAAAUACUGAGAUUGAAAUGCAACCACAGGUGGAGGCUUCAACCAAACUUUUCAGACAGACAUGAGAUACAAAGUUACACAAGUAUAAAUGGUUGAAGGUUUAGGAGAGCCAGACAAGAAGGCAGGAAAUGUGAUGUCACUUUUACUUCAAUGAACAUGGACAGCAGCAGGAGCAACAACAACCAUGCAGGGAACAUCAGGCGCAACAUAAAUAACUUCAUCAAGAGAUGCAACAACCACAGUGGUAAACAUCAACAGCAGUAGCAACAACGACAGUAGAAACAAAGCCAACAGCAAGGAUUCUAACAAGCAAUCAUACAAGCAACAACAUCAAUAGAUGCAUCAGGAGAUGCAACAGCCACACUCGUAAACAGCAGCAGUAGCAGCGAUGACAACAGCAACCACACAGGCAACACCUUGAGCAACAUCAGUAGCAAAAAUAACUAAUUGCACCAGGAGAUGCAACAACCACACCCACAACACCAAGAGCAGCAAAAACAAACAGCAAUUCCAGCAAUCACGAUGACAACAGCAGCAGCAACACCAACAACACUCAUGAACAUUGAAAAAACUUGUACAAAAGUCAAUGAGGUCGCAUUUUUCAGACAUUAUCAGACAUUAUUGAUUAAAAAAUGCACAAUGAUUUAUUUGGGUUAAAGAAAAUUAUGUUUGAAAAAAUGUGUACAUUUGAAGAUGUUUCCUAUGUAUUGAUUGAUAUAAUAUAGUUUUAAAGAUGAAAA